AACUAAAUGUAAUUUUUAUCUUGUUUAUAGUUUCACUGGCAGCAGCUGCUGUGUGGAUUUCACUGGGUAAUUAACAACAACUAUCCUUAUAUUUGGAACAUGGGAGGUAGCUUGGGAUUGGCUUGGCAAUGCUGUUCUUCAGAAAGGAGAAUCUCAGUUUGUCUAAUACUGGAACGCUGUGAUGCCGAAUUAAAAUAAUCUGUUCUUA